rnacentral:lncRNA from 1 species
UGAGCAAAAUUCACGAAACAGUGCAGAAUAUUUUAGGAAAAAAUUCCAUGACCCUUCCAAAUCUGAGAGAGUUGUGUUAACUCAUUCCAGACUUCAAGUAAUCAGGUUAGCCCUAAGUUUGACUAUUCUACUUCUCUUGGGUUCACAGAUGGUGACUGUUUUUAUUAGUGCAACGAAGUCAUCUGUCAGUCUGUGCUUGUGGUUAUCCUGAGUAGACAGAGCAUCUGUACUCAAACAGAGCAGCUCAACUGGAGUAACUCAAAAAAAAAAAGAAAAGAAAAGAGAAGAGAAGAGAAGAGAAGAGAAGAGAAGAGAAGAGAAGAGAAGGAAGGAAGGAAGGAAGGAAGGAAGGAAGGAAGGAAGGAAGGAGAAAAAAUGCGGUAAUCCUAGCACCAGUGAUGCAGAAACAGGAUCAUUUCCAAACACUUGAGAUGAUAUAUGCAUGGAUGGUGCCCUCUUAUUGUCCUGAGACCUCAGGGAGCUCCAGGUGAUAGCUAUGGAUUUUACGUGGAUACCAGUGACUAAUGAACCAAGGGGACUAAGGGAGGAAGCUGAGACCCAGCCAUAUUCACACUCAGGAAUUCCUGAAGAUGGAAGGGUCAUCACACCGGAGUUUCAUGAUGGAGGAAAGAAAAUGGAGCUAAACACAGAGGAACUGCUACAAAUCCACACAGAAGCACACAGAACCGAGUUACCCCUUAUGCCUUUCAGUCCGC